rnacentral:rRNA from 1 species
GACGGAGGAUGCAAGCGUUAUCCGGAAUUAUUGGGCGUAAAGCGUCCGUAGGCGGUCGAACAAGUCUGCUGUUAAAGACUACAGCUCAACUGUGGGAUGGCGGUGGAAACUGUGCGACUAGAGUGCGGUAGGGGUAGAGGGAAUUCCCAGUGUAGCGGUGAAAUGCGUAGAUAUUGGGAAGAACACCAGUGGCGAAGGCGCUCUACUGGGCCGCAACUGACGCUGAUGGACGAAAGCUAGGGGAGCGAAUGGG